rnacentral:rRNA from 1 species
CCCUUAGAUGUUCUGGGCCGCACGCGCGCUACAAUGAUGAAUUCAACGAGUUUAUAACCUUGGUUGAAAAGCCUGGGUAAUCUUUUGAACUUUCGUCGUGAUGGGGCUAGACCCUUGCAAUUAUUGGUCUCCAACGAGGAAUUCCUAGUAAACGCAAGUCAUCAGCUUGCAUUGAUUACGUCCCUGCCCCUUGUACACACCGCCCGUCGCACCUACCGAUUGAAUGGUCCGGUGAAAUCUUCGGAUUGAGACUUUGAUUUCUUCACGGAAAACGCUGUUUUAAAAAGUUGAUUAAACCUUACCAUUUAGAGGAAGGUGAAGUCGUAACA